UUUUCUCUUUGUCUUCCUGUGAAUUCUCCCUGCAAGUUACCCUCACUCAUGUUCAGGUUUUGUUGUUUAAGUUUUAGUUUUUCCAGUUUAGGUUUUACUCAGUUCGGUUUUCGCCACCCUCGCCUUUGCUGUUUGUGCACGCUCCUUCAAUAAAGCUUCCUCACCUCAGUUUUGCCACAUCUUGGGUCCAUACAGCUCGCCUCGCGAACCAUGACAAUAUGUCCCUUACUGUCAAGUUAGCUUUCAUAAGGAUCCAUAUCCAAUAAAAGUUUUAUCCCAAGUGACUUUGUUCAGCUGCAAUUUGGAUUUGCUGCUUGUGAUGGAGACCUGGCAGAAGCCUGAGGAUGACACAAGUUGGCUGCAUGACGCUAGGUCAUCUUAUGAAGACGUACAUCUCUGAUCAACCCACACACCUGUGGAGAGUGAACAUCUGCGCCUCCCUAUCCCUGCCAUUACUUAAGCUUAGGAAGGAAAGCUACUCAUCGCUGGAUCGUUGUAUGACUCGCAUCAAUAUUCCCUAGACCUGUCCAUGUGUUUCCCAAGAGGAUUUUUUGUGAGGGAGUGGAGAGCGGCUGGCGGUGAGCAGUGUGUGAACGAAGAGGAGCAAGAGUGUUUUUCCCGGUCUUCCCCACCUUGGAUUUCCCGGAGCCCCUGACACUAUUGUAUAUAGCACCGUGCCCUGCACUGUUGUACAAACACCUGG